UACGGGGGGAGCAAGCGUUGUUCGGAUUUACUGGGCGUAAAGGGCGCGUAGGCGGUCAGCACAAGUCAGUUGUGAAAUCUCCGGGCUUAACUCGGAAAGGUCAACUGUACUGUGCGACUAGAGUGCGGAAGGGGCAACUGGAAUUCUCGGUGUAGCGGUGAAAUGCGUAGAUAUCGAGAGGAACACCUGCGGCGAAGGCGGGUUGCUGGGCCGACACUGACGCUGAUGCGCGAAAGCCAGGGGAGCGAACGGG
rnacentral:rRNA from 1 species